GGGUCUUGGACAGUGUCCUAACUGUUCCUGGGCAGGUGUCCUCACCAUGGCCUUUUCUUAAAGGACCAGAUAGUAAAAUACUAAGUAUUUCUGGCUUUCUGGGCCACAGGGUCCCUGUGACAGCGACUCAGCUUUGCUCCUGUAGAACAAAAUUAGACACAGACACUAUUUGAAUGGACAGGUGUGGCUGUGUUCCAAUAAAACUUUAUUUACAAAACAGGCAGCCUCCAGAUUUGGCCCCAGGAGCUGUAGCUCCCUGGCCCCUGCUGUAGGUGUGAAAUGUCAUUCUGUCCGGCUGCUGUAACAGAGGCCACAUUCACUUCUCAGUUCUGGAGACUGGAAGUCCAGGACGAAGGUGCCAGCAGGGAACAUGUGUUAUUGUUUCCUGUAAAAUAGCAACAAAAUAUAUGAAGUGAAGGGA